rnacentral:rRNA from 1 species
UACGUAGGUGGCAAGCGUUGUCCGGAAUUAUUGGGCGUAAAGCGCGCGCAGGUGGUUUCUUAAGUCUGAUGUGAAAGCCCACGGCUCAACCGUGGAGGGUCAUUGGAAACUGGGGAACUUGAGUGCAGGAGAGAAGAGUGGAAUUCCACGUGUAGCGGUGAAAUGCGUAGAGAUGUGGAGGAACACCAGUGGCGAAAGCGACUUCCUGGUCGAAUACUGACGUUCAUGUGCGAAAGCGUGGGGAGCAAACAGG